rnacentral:piRNA from 1 species
UUUGAAUGAUAUGACAAAUUU